rnacentral:lncRNA from 1 species
GCAGGGGCGCCUGGGGUCACUUUUUUCCUAUAAAAGACGGCUCUGGGGCUCCGUUUUGAGGCACUCAGUCUGUGUUGACGGACGCUCCUUCUCCCUACGCUCUUUGCGAUUCUUUACUGCUUUCUUGCAUUUUUUAAUUUUAGUUUUAUUUUAUUGUUGUGAUACUUGGUCACUUAAAAUUAAAUUAAAAUUAAUUCCCUUAACGAGGAGCUUAACCUGGAGUUAAGAAGCGGUCGACGAUUAAAUCAGGUACGUAAA